GCCCAGACUCCUACGGGAGGCAGCAGUGGGGAAUAUUGCACAAUGGGGGGAACCCUGAUGCAGCGACGCCGCGUGAGUGAAGAAGUAUCUCGGUACGUAAAGCUCUAUCAGCAGGGAAGAAAAUGACGGUACCUGAGUAAGAAGCCCCGGCUAACUACGUGCCAGCAGCCGCGGUAAUACGUAGGGGGCAAGCGUUAUCCGGAUUUACUGGGUGUAAAGGGAGCGUAGACGGCCAGACAAGUCUGAAGUGAAAAUCCAGCGCUUAACGUUGGAAGUGCUUUGGAAACUGCCGGGCUAGAGUGCAGGAGGGGCAGGCGGAAUUCCUAGUGUAGCGGUGAAAUGCGUAGAUAUUAGGAGGAACACCAGUGGCGAAGGCGGCCUGCUGGACUGCAACUGACGUUGAGGCUCGAAGGCGUGGGGAGCAAACAGGAUUAGAUACCCGCGUACC
rnacentral:rRNA from 1 species